GACGGAUGGGGCUAGCGUUGUUCGGAAUUACUGGGCGUAAAGGGCGCGUAGGCGGCCAUUUAAGUUAGACGUGAAAGCCCUGGGCUUAACCUAGGAACUGCGUUUAAUACUGGAUGGCUAGAGUAUGGUAGAGGAAAGCGGAAUUCCUAGUGUAGAGGUGAAAUUCGUAGAUAUUAGGAAGAACACCAGAGGCGAAGGCGCUUCUGGACCAUUACUGACGCUGAGGCGCGAAAGCGUGGGGAGCAAACAGG
rnacentral:rRNA from 1 species